rnacentral:rRNA from 1 species
ACUGGGGGAUAACACUUAGAAAUAGGUGCUAAUACCGCAUAAGCGCACAGCUUCGCAUGAAGCAGUGUGAAAAACUCCGGUGGUAUACGAUGGAUCCGCGUCUGAUUAGCUGGUUGGCGGGGUAACAGCCCACCAAGGCGACGAUCAGUAGCCGGCCUGAGAGGGUGAACGGCCACAUUGGGACUGAGACACGGCCCAAACUCCUACGGGAGGCAGCAGUGGGAAAUAUUGCACAAUGGGGGAAACCCUGAUGCAGCGACCCCGCGUGAGUGAAGAAGUAUUUCGGUAUGUAAAGCUCUAUCAGCAGGGAAGAAAUACUGACCUUACGGUCAGCAGACGGUACCUGACUAAGAAGCCCCGGCUAACUACGUGCCAGCAGCCGCGGUAAUACGUAGGGGGCAAGCGUUAUCCGGAUUUACUGGGUGUAAAGGGAGCGUACACGGCAGCGCAAGUCUGAAGUGAAAUCCCAUGGCUUAACCAUGGAACUGCUUUGGAAACUGUGCAGCUGGAGUGCAGGAGAGGUAAGCGGAAUUCCUAGUGUAGCGGUGAAAUGCGUAGAUAUUAGGAGGAACACCAGUGGCGAAGGCGGCUUACUGGACUGUAACUGACGUUG